UAGUUUAGAAAUUUAUCUUUAUCUUAUGAAACGCAAUAGACAGGUGCGAAAAUGUUGAGUUACAAGUUAAAUCAGUUAUAAAAGACGUAUCCUUAAAAUAAUCACAGCAGAAGAUUUUUCUUAGUCUAAAUGGCAUGCAGUCCUUUCCGAUCAUUCAUCAUGUUUUCUGUAACAUAAUUGAUUUUUAAUAUUUGAUGCGUUCAUAUCUUAUUAACUGUAUAAUAGAGAUCAGCAUCAGAUGAGGGUAAAUUUGUUUCUAGAAUGAGUGAUUAACGUUAAAACCCUUUUGUGAAGACCAUAGUGCGUAUUUGAAUGAAAGACCGAAACAUGUUAACAAUACCAAAGGAAUUACGUCAUCAGCUAUAAACUGCUCAGAUGCUGCCAUCU
rnacentral:lncRNA from 1 species